UGGGGAAUUUUGGACAAUGGGCGCAAGCCUGAUCCAGCCAUGCCGCGUGCGGGAAGAAGGCCUUCGGGUUGUAAACCGCUUUGUCAGGGAAGAAAUCUUCUGAGUUAAUACCUCGGGAGGAUGACGGUACCUGAAGAAUAAGCACCGGCUAACUACGUGCCAGCAGCCGCGGUAAUACGUAGGGUGCAAGCGUUAAUCGGAAUUACUGGGCGUAAAGCGUGCGCAGGCGGUUUUGUAAGACGGAGGUGAAAUCCCCGGGCUCAACCUGGGAACUGCCUUUGUGACUGCAAGGCUUGAGUGCGGCAGAGGGGGGAUGGAAUUCCGCGUGUAGCAGUGAAAUGCGUAGAUAUGCGGAGGAACACCGAUGGCGGAAAGGCCAAAUCCCCCUGGGGCCUGCACUGACGCUCAUGCACAAAGCGUGGGGAGCAAACAGGAUUAGAUACCCUGGUAGUCCACGCCCUAAACGAUGUCAACUGGUUGUUGGGAAGGUUCCUUCUCAGUAACGUAGCUAACGCGUGAAGCUG
rnacentral:rRNA from 1 species